GACGAACGCUGGCGGCGUGCCUAACACAUGCAAGUCAACUUGACUGAAGGAGCAAUCUGACAGUAGAGUGGCGCAAGGGUGCGUAACGCGUAAGUAACUUGCCCCAAGGUAAGGAAUAACGUCGAGAAAUCGGCGCUAAUACCUCAUAAUGCAGCGGAUCCGCAUGGAUAUGUUGUUAAAGGUUUACCGCCUUGGGAUAGGCUUGCGUCUGAUUAGCUAGUUGGUGUGGUAACGGCACACCAAGGCUACGAUCAGUAACUGGUCUGAGAGGAUGAUCAGUCACACUGGAACUGAGACACGGUCCAGACUCCUACGGGAGGCAGCAGUGAGGAAUAUUGGGCAAUGCUCGAAAGAGUGACCCAGCAACGCCGCGUGGAGGAUGAAGGUAUUCUAUAUCGUAAACUCCUGUGAGAGCAGACGAAAGACAGAUUAUUAAUCUGGAUGACUGUAUGCUCAGAGGAAGCCCC
rnacentral:rRNA from 1 species